rnacentral:tRNA from 1 species
CGGGAAGUAGCGCAGCCUGGGAGCGCACCUGUUUUGGGUACAGGGUGUCGCCGGUUCAAAUCCGGCCUUCCCGACCA